rnacentral:rRNA from 1 species
UACGUAGGGCGCAAGCGUUGUCCGGAAUUAUUGGGCGUAAAGAGCUCGUAGGCGGCUUGUCACGUCGGGUGUGAAAGCCCCGGGGCUUAACCCCCGGGUCUGCAUUCGAUACGGGCUAGCUAGAGUGUGGUAGGGGGAGAUCGGAAUUCCUGGUGUAGCGGUGAAAUGCGCAGAUAUCAGGAGGAACACCGGUGGCGAAGGCGGCCUUCCUGGACGGAUACUGACGCUGAGACGCGAAAGCGUGGGGGAGCAAACAGG